GGAAGAUCCUUUUAGAUAUUAUUUACUCAUUAGACAGACCGAUAAAGAAACUAAAGCCCAGAGCAGGGCAGUAGCUGCUGGAGGGCCCAGAGCCACGUGGUAGGAGAGCUGGGAGAGAGGCCUGGGUACUGAGAGAGCUGCUGUGUUUGGGCUGCUCUACACAUCCCCGUGUUUCUGUAUUCCUCCAUGCUCACGGAGUCUUCCUCAGACUUCAGUCUCCAGAUGUGCCAUAGUUUAAUUUGGGGGUCCUCAAGUCAAAAUUUCAAGAACUGAAGAAUACGGAUCAUGAGACCUGCUGAAUAACAUCGAAGGAACUUCUGAACACGCCACCAUUUAAGCGGAGAGGGUCCCUCCCUUCCGCUGCAAUCAGGCUAUUACAGGCUCGCUCUGCCUCUUACCCGCUGGGCGCAGGCCAAGCCCAGAGCCCGGGGCUCCUACUAUGACUUGGCUGAGCAGCAAGCUAUUCAUCCACACGUCCAAGGCCACUUUUGUGCGAACAGCUUCGCAUCACCUGCCCCUGGAGACUUCGGAUCACCCCUCUGCUCCCCCGCCCUCCCCUGCUCCAGCCCCUCUCUGGCUGUGCAGGAGCCAAAGGGGAUUUGUGAUAACAGAGUCACAGGCACAGGCCCAACCCAGGCCCGAGGAGCUUGACCUGAGGCAAGAGCAUAGCCCAGAACAACACACGCCACUCCCCAGCAAGGAGGGGUGGCCCGGCACUCAAAUCGAAAACUCCUGGGCUUUUGAUGGAAGCCAUAAAACAAAGGUAGUAUUCCAGAAGGAAUCUCAGAUCCUUGUUCAUACUGGAGCCCAAGUGACCAUUAAAACAAGAGGCUGCUUCUCCAUAGGCAGUUCCGAGGAUCAAGAGCCCCAGUGCAUGGUUGUAUAUCCUAGUUGUAAGUUCUGGUUCUUCUAUGUGAGCUGCCGCCACAACAUGGCAACUGUCAGAUGCGUAGUGCAGUUCUGAGACCAGGAAGGGAACCCGGGCCACUGAAGAGGUUAUAAAAAUAACACAGACUCACUGUAUACAACUUGUAAAAUACAGAAGUGUAUAAAGAAGGAAAUAAAACUACCAUUAACCCGUGCUCCAGAGGAACAUCUCCUAUCUACAUUUUCUGUAUUAUCUGUUCUUCAAAUCCAACAAUUUUUCUCUCAUUAUUUUUAAUCACUUUGUCUUUUUCCUCCUCAUUCAUGGCAGUUUUUCAAGUUUCUCAUCUGUACCUCUGGUUGUGACUUUUUGCAAUGCCUCUUCCUCUCUCUAUUGCUUUUAAUGAAAAUUUUAAUUAGCUAUUGCUUUUUUGUUCCCUUAACUCUCUUGCAAAUUUUGCCUCCGCUGGGCCAGCAUCCUGUUCAUUGCUGCCUCUGGCCCGCCAAACUUCACAAUUGAAAGGGCGGCCAGUCAUGUUUGGUGGGGAUCUUAGUCUCCCUGCCGCUUACCUCCUGUAACCACUGCUGUUUCUCAGGAGGCCAAGCUGCAAGGUGGCCUUCGAUGUCUCCUCCCUCUGCUCCUAUCUGCACCAUUGUUGAGCAGGAUGACACCAAACUUUCCACCACGUGGAAGGCACACUGUCUUGUACCUGUCCUCCUUCCCCCCAUUGCUUUUUCUUUUUCACUCUUCUUCAGGUUAUUUCAGAGGGGAUCUGGUGUAGAAGAAGUUAAACAUUAACUCCAAUGCCUUUUUACCCAGGAGUCUGUGAAAGACAUGCUUUAAGCUUUCUCAUAUUGUGUGAGUGUAUAUUGUAUGCUAUAAAUUUAUUUAAAAAAAACCCAAGUCUUUGUAGGCAGGGGGGUAAAGGUAUAAGAGAACAGAAUUUGGAGUUAGGAGACCAAGGCUUGAGCCCCGAUUCAGCCACUUAUGAUCACCACAUGAUCCUGCUCAUCUGCUCUUCAGUUUACUCAUCUGUACAAUGAGCCGAACACCUUGGACUGAAUGAAGCUGGGCCCAUGGUAUGGAAGGUAUCAAUAAAUCCUUGUCGGUGACUUACUUGGAAUGAAUGUCCAGAAAAUGCUCAAGAAUAUCUAAGGAUCCAAAAAGGAGCGACAGAAUAAUUGAAUAUAUAAUUACUGCUUUCUUUGAUAUUUAUGUUUACAAGCUUUCUUUGAACUGGUGGUAUUAUCUGCCUAGAAAGUACCAGAGUUUAUUGACCAUUUUCACAUUUUCUCUCUGACUCCUCCAUCUAACCCUCACUAUCCAUUCCCCCAACACUCAAAAUUUAUUGUAAAAAGGUGUCCUUUGAAAGGCUUUUUAAAAGAAAUGUGAUUAUCUACAGCUCAGUGUCACUUUUAAAGUUGUCCCUUGAUACUUUCUGGAGGCUGCAAAAUAUAUUUAAUUUCCAAACAUUCUUGAAAGUCAUCCAAUAAAUUCAGGCAGGGAGGGAAUGGCCAGGGUACAGGGUGUGCGAGGGACCGCACUGUGAGUUGGCCGGUAUCAUUUAUUAUAAGCAAUCCGGCAGGUGCGUAAAUAACUCCUACCAGGAGGUUUUCCGCUCAGCUUCCCAAAAUGGCUCCAUUUCAACAUCCAGCAGUGACGCUGUAUUCUCAGAAUUGGAUUAGCCAAGGCCUGGGCGAGGUAAAAUCCACUGGAAUGAACCAAAGGAAAGGUUUGCUCCUACAUCAACAGCAUGAGUAUGAAAUAGACUUUUGUUUAUUAAGAAUGGUAGGAUUCAUCAGCUAAUUGAAAAAUCCAAUUCUUUGAAGGGCAGAUGUGCAUUUCAUAUGAUGUGGUUCAGUCCUAGAGAUUCAGGUUUUGAGCACUUAUGAAGUCUAAGACAUCGUGCUGGGUGCCAUGGAGGAUAAAGAGAUAAGCAAGACCUGGCCUUGGCUUUGGGAGUUCACACACUUGUUGGGAGACAGACGUAUCUAUCAUCUCAUCACAGGAGAGAUUGAAAAAUUAGAAACGCAAGCAAAAUGCUGUUGGGUUAGAGAGGAAAACUUGGAGAUGUCUCUUGGUUGAGGAGGCAUUCAAACUAGGCAUUCUUCCAUUCAUUUAUUACUCAGACAAUUGUGGAAUGCCAAACUGGUUUCAUACACUAUACCAUGAACACUCAGAGAGGGCCAAUUGUAGUUGUUUAAUUAUUUACAGAAGAAUAAAGUUCAACAGGCAGAAAAGGGAAGGGAGGGCAUUCCAGGGAGUAGGAAUUGAGUUGAGGCCUUGAGGCUGCAUGGCAUGCCCAAGAAACAGGGAGGACACAGGUGUGGCUCUGACCCAGGAGGUGUGUGUGCGAGUGGGGGAUGGUGGGGGCUGGAGUGAAGGUAAAGAUGGAAGAUAAUGAGAGCAAAACUGCAGAGGGCUCUGAAUAGCCAGGAAAGGAAAAAUAAAUUGUACUUUUAUUUAUUUAGUUAGUUUUUUUUUUAGAUCACAUUUUUAUGAGUCAUUCUAAGUUUACCAAGAUUGCUCCCUUUUAGGUGUAACAGUUGGAAGUGCACUAGCUUGGAAUCAGACUAAACUUUGAAUCUGAGCUGUACCAUUUGCCAGAUGAAUAACUUUGGACAAGUGUCACCUAACCGUUCUGAUGCUCAGUUUUCUCAUCUGCGAAAAUAGGGUUUGUGCAGAUUAAGUUAGAAGAGAUAGGUGAGGGCGCCAAGGACAUUGCCCCCCUUCAGUGGAUACUCGGUAAAUGCUAGCUGCUUCUCCUUCUUUCCCUUCCCUUCCCUCUUCUCUUCUCCGUUUCCCACAGGAGGGCUUUGAUGAAGAAUAUAUUUCAGUAACAUCACUGAGUCCUCAAGCUUGGUUGCUAAUUUUUUUCUCAACUUUAUCCCAGUGGUUCUCAAACCUGAGCAGGUGUCAGAAUCUUCUGGAGGGCUUGGUUAGAAGACAGAGUACUGGGCCCCACCCAGAGUUUCUGAUUCAGGAGGUCUGCUGGGGCCCGAGAAUCUGCAUUUCUAACAAGUUCCCAGAUGCUGCUGAUGUGGGAACCACACUCUGGGGACCGCUGCUUUAUCUUGUUUUGCCCUGGGGCAGACCCUGUUGGUUGCUUACCCAGCAGCCAUCCCCUCUUGGCUGCUGACAGAGCCCUGACUUGUUUUGGUGGCACAGAAAGAUUCUUUGCUUUCAGAGUUAGGUCUCUAUCUCAGUGCCUGAAGAUGAUGACGAUGGGUCUAGACCAGUCAUGGCAACCCCCGUUCCCUUACCCAUUGGUUGGUCUGAAGGUAGGCAAGUGCCCCACAGUGUCUAAAGAGAUGUGAGGGUGAAUCUGCUGACAAAGACUCACAAGGGCAAGGGCUUUGUCCCUUGCCUCUUCUUCCUGAAUGUGUACAUGUUGCUCAAGUUACAGUAGC
ensembl:lncRNA